rnacentral:rRNA from 1 species
AGUGAACGCUGGCGGCAGGCCUAACACAUGCAAGUCGAGCGGCAGCGGGUUCCCGCGAGGGGAUGCCGGCGAGCGGCGGACGGGUGAGGAACACAUCGGAAUCUGCCUGGUUGUGGGGGAUAACGUAGGGAAACUUACGCUAAUACCGCAUGCGACCCUGAGUCGACGGACUUGGGGUGAAAGUGAGGGACCUUCGGGCCUCACGCGACCAGAUGAGCCGAUGUCGGAUUAGCUAGUUGGCGGGGUAACGGCCGCCAAGGCGACGAUCCGUAGCUGGUCUGAGAGGAUGAUCAGCCACACUGGAACUGAGAC